GGGAUUUCCCAGGCAGGAAUACUGGAGUGGUCUGCCAUUGCCUUCUCCAGGGGAACUUCCUGACCCAGGGAUCCAAACCCACGUCUCUUGCUUGGCAGGUGGAUUCUUACCGUUUGAGCCACCAGGGAAGACCCACGAUAAAGUUAAGUAGUACUCACCGGGAGAGGUGGAUACAAUCUAGGAGAUCCAGCUGAGGUGGAAUCCUGGGGAUGUUGACCAGAGGUCUCCAUCGCUGAGAUUGGAGCCUGCAGAAACUGUGACUCUAUGAUCUCUGGGAGAGCUGGCAGAGGGGCAGCAGCUGCUAUAGGAACUUCACAUGGCCCUGGAUCAGGCAUUAAGGUGGCCUCCGAUCCUGAUGGAGCACUACGAGGCAGGAGGUCCUGCUAAGGAACACGGAACUAAUAAGCCACCACCAACCGGAAGAGUUCGGGAAAGGUCAAAAGGAGACACUACAUGUCCGACCACCUCCCAGAAUCCUUCUGUCUGGCAUCCAUCUUGGCUGAACAAGGCAUGCACCACCAGGAAGGACUAUGAGUCAGAAUGAUUGGCUAAGGGCAACCUGGAAACUAAUCACUUUACAUAAAACCUGGGACUGCAAGCCAUGUGGCAGAGCAGUUCUCCCAGGUUCCCUUACCCUACUGCUCUCCACCCAGGUGGCAUUUCCCAAUAAAA
ensembl:lncRNA